UGGGUGUAGUGUCAUGUGCCUGUAGUCCCAGCUACUUGGGAGACUAAGGCAGGAGAAUCUCUUGAACCUGAGAGGCAGAGGUUGCAGUGAGCCAAAAUCAUGCCACUGCACUCCAGCCUGGUGACAGAAUGAGAUUCCAUCUCAAAAAAUAAAUAAAUAAAUAAAUAAAUAUAAAUUUUAAAAACGAUAAAAUAAGAAGCAUUCUGCAUACUUCGUGCAGCAAUUCUGCCACAGCCCCUAACGACGGCCACUUCUCAUUCCAAAUCCUGCCCUACGUUUUUCCUGUUUCAGGUUCAGUUUCAGUUUUAGAAUAAAUGAUUAAUCCAAUUCACCUGGAGCAAACGGCAGGAGACAUCCUGCUUUGGUUGUAAUAAAAUUUCAUUGCAAAUGCACUGAUCAAAGUCACAGUGAAAUAUUACAGGGUCUAGAGACCCAAGAGAAUACAACCAAGAAUAAAGGAAACAAAAAAACUGUUUGGAACCCCGUUCUGGGAAGAACGUUACCUUCAGACGCUGUCAUGGAUAUGCCUCAGUCCUUAUACUCAUGCUAGUGCAUUCGUCAGUUUUCACACUGCUAUAAAGAAAUACCCAAGACUGGGUCACUUGUGAAAGACGGAGGUUUAACUGACUGGCAUUUCUGUGUCACUGGGGAGCCCUCAGGAAACUUACGAUCAUGGCAGAAGGGGAAGCAGGCACCUCUUACACGGUGAGAGAGAGCGUGUGUGAAGGAGGAACCCUCAGACACUUCUAAAACUGUCAGGGAUCUUCUGAGAACUCACUCAUUGUCAGGAGAACAGCACUGGGGGACCGUCCCCAUGAUCCAAUCACCUCCUUCCCUCUACAGGCUUGAACUAAAACAUCAGCUCUUUCCAAGUCUUGAGCCUUCCAGCUGGGACCACAAUUCACACAUGGAUGCUCCCGGGUCUGCAGACCACAGACUGCAGAGCUUGGUAUGUAGCCUCCAUAAUCAUGGGAACCAGUUCCUUAAGGUGGAUCUCUUCCUCUGGGUAAGCACAUCCUGUUGGCGUGUUUCUCUGGAGAACCCUCAUACAGCACCUUUUAACAGUUUUCUACAUACUCCCUGAUGAGCUGCACUUCCUUGCUUUUGAAUGCUCUGUUUAUGCUGUAUACCUGUGUAUCUGCUGGGACACUUCUUAUUGAUUGCCAUGAACAAAAUCCUAUUGAUUUUCACAGUGUUCCUUAGUAAUCCUUCAACUGUCCUCACCAGCUUUCCACCCUAAAAUCCCAAGAAACUCUAUCAGAAACACUACAUUUUAAUUAGAAAUUAAGACAAAGAAAUACUCAUUUCGAAAAAAAAAAAGAAUGAAGAAGUAGAGUGUGUGGGACAUGGCUCUUCAUCUUCUGGGUCAAAAAAAGAAAUAAUAAUAAUAAUAAAGAAAAACCGAAAACAGAUUCUAUAGGUAGUCCACCAUGGAUUAGUUGUUCUAUUGUCUCUGUUUAAAUGCCACAUGCCAAAGCCCGCAUGUAGGUUCUCCAACAAUACGCGACUUCACCACUGCGGAGUUAUUGACAGAACUAUACACGUAAGUUUCUGUAUUGGAGAGAUUUCGUCUGUGAAAAUAAUUAAGCUCUGAAAGCCAUUGUCAAGAGAAGCAAAUAUAUUCAUUUGAGGAUAGAAGAGAGGUAGAUAUUGAUCAUUAACUAGGGUAAAUAGAUACAUAAAAGAAACAAGUCUUUUUGCUGUUAAAUCAUGUGAAGGUGAUUCGUCGCAGGCAUUGAAUAGAGUGGCUAGUUUCAGGGCAGGAGAUGCAAAUGUUUCUCCGGUCUCUGCAGACUUCCCGUGGACAGUCCACUUCUCAGGGUUGGCAUUUCCCCCCAGCUCUAAGUCUUGGCAAGUAGCUACAGUAAGUAUUCCAGUGUCUUCUUCAGCUCAUCACUGCUGCGCAGGCGACACCUUUCCAUAUAUCACAGUGGUCUGUCCUUAGACCCCUUGACCGGGGUUUCUACCAGCUGGUUGUUACCUUGGAAGUUGAAGUGAAGAGAAAUAAAAC
rnacentral:lncRNA from 1 species